rnacentral:rRNA from 1 species
GACGAACGCUUGCGGCGUGCCUAAGAAAUGCAAGUCGAGCGGGAGUAGCAAUACUCUAGCGGCGAACGGUCGCGUAACACGUAAGCAACCUGCCCGAAAGACCGGGACAACACUCCGAAAGGGGUGCUAAUACCGGAUGUGCCCACUUCCUUGCAUGGGGAGGUGAGUAAAACGCGCAAAAACCAGGCAUUAGGCAUCAGGCACUAGGCAUUAGGAGAGUUCGCUUUUCUAAUGCCNGCUGCCUAAUGCCUAAUGCCUGAUGAUGUGGCGGCUUUUGGAGGGGCUUGCGGCCUAUCAGCUAGUUGGUGGGGUAAUGGCCUACCAAGGCAUCGACGGGUAGCUGGUCUGAGAGGAUGGUCAGCCGGACUGGGACUGAGAUACGGCCCAGACUCCUACGGGGGGCAGCAAUUAGGAAUCUUGUACAAUGGGGCAACCCUGAUACAGCGACGCCGCGUGAGGGA